UUUCAGAAAGGACCAGUUUAUUCCCCCUGUUUUGCAUGUCAUGUGUCAUUCCCCAUGUCCCCUUCUGUCUCUUCCUAGAUAAAAGCCCCUAGGUAGUUCUGUUCUUUAAUUCAGGAACUGUGGUAUGACCCAGGCAGCAUGCUCCAGUCCUGAAUGUCACUGACCCCAUCUAAGUCACUUCCUGUCUCUGCCUCAGGGAGGGAAUAGG
rnacentral:lncRNA from 1 species